rnacentral:rRNA from 1 species
UACGUAGGAGGCGAGCGUUGUCCGGAUUUAUUGGGCGUAAAGAGCGUGUAGGCGGUUCGGUAGGUCCGUUGUGAAAACUCGAGGCUCAACCUCGAGACGCCGAUGGAAACCAUCGAACUAGAGUCCGGAAGAGGAGAGUGGAAUUCCUGGUGUAGCGGUGAAAUGCGCAGAUAUCAGGAAGAACACCCGUGGCUAAGGCGGCUCUCUAGUACGGUACUGACGCUGAGACGCGAAAGCGUGGGGAGCGAACAGG